rnacentral:rRNA from 1 species
AUCCAGACUCCUACGGGAGGCAGCAGUGGGGAAUAUUGGACAAUGGGGGGAACCCUGAUCCAGCGACGCCGCGUGAGUGAAGAAGUAUUUCGGUAUGUAAAGCUCUAUCAGCAGGGAAGAAAAUGACGGUACCUGACUAAGAAGCCCCGGCUAACUACGUGCCAGCAGCCGCGGUAAUACGUAGGGGGCAAGCGUUAUCCGGAUUUACUGGGUGUAAAGGGAGCGUAGACGGCAGUGCAAGUCCGGAGUGAAAGCCCGGGGCUCAACCCUGGGACUGCUCUGGAAACUGUAAAGCUGGAGUGCGGGAGGGGCAGGCGGAAUUCCUGGUGUAGCGGUGAAAUGCGUAGAUAUCAGGAGGAACACCGGCGGCGAAGGCGGCCUGCUGGACCGUAACUGACGUUGAGGCUCGAAAGCGUGGGGAGCAAACAGGAUUAGAUACCCGGGUAU